ACUGUCUCUAGAGGUAUUGCAGGUGUAGUUACUCUGUCAUUUGCACAUCAGGAGGCGGCAGAGAGGAGAGAGGCUAUGUCUACACUCAGUGUUCUGACCUAUGGACAGCUGAAUGACUAGUAGCCUAACAGU